UACGGGGGGAGCAAGCGUUGUUCGGAUUUACUGGGCGUAAAGGGCGCGUAGGCGGCGUGACAAGUCACUUGUGAAAUCUCCGGGCUUAACUCGGAACGGUCAAGUGAUACUGUCGUGCUAGAGUACAGAAGGGGCAACUGGAAUUCUCGGUGUAGCGGUGAAAUGCGUAGAUAUCCGGAGGAACACCGGUGGCGAAGGCGGCUUCCUGGACCGACACUGACGCUGAGGUGCGAAAGCGUGGGGAGCAAACAGG
rnacentral:rRNA from 1 species